rnacentral:rRNA from 1 species
UGUCGGCAGGCCUAACACAUGCAAGUCGAACGGUAACAGGAAGAAGCUUGCUUCUUUGCUGACGAGUGGCGGACGGGUGAGUAAUGUCUGGGAAACUGCCUGAUGGAGGGGGAUAACUACUGGAAACGGUAGCUAAUACCGCAUAACGUCGCAAGACCAAAGAGGGGGACCUUCGGGCCUCUUGCCAUCGGAUGUGCCCAGAUGGGAUUAGCUAGUAGGUGGGGUAAAGGCUCACCUAGGCGACGAUCCCUAGCUGGUCUGAGAGGAUGACCAGCCACACUGGAACUGAGACACGGUCCAGACUCCUACGGGAGGCAGCAGUGGGGAAUAUUGCACAAUGGGCGCAAGCCUGAUGCAGCCAUGCCGCGUGUAUGAAGAAGGCCUUCGGGUUGUAAAGUACUUUCAGCGGGGAGGAAGGGAGUAAAGUUAAUACCUUUGCUCAUUGACGUUACCCGCAGAAGAAGCACCGGCUAACUCCGUGCCAGCAGCCGCGGUAAUACGGAGGGUGCAAGCGUUAAUCGGAAUUACUGGGCGUAAAGCGCACGCAGGCGGUUUGUUAAGUCAGAUGUGAAAUCCCCGGGCUCAACCUGGGAACUGCAUCUGAUACUGGCAAGCUUGAGUCUCGUAGAGGGGGGUAGAAUUCCAGGUGUAGCGGUGAAAUGCGUAGAGAUCUGGAGGAAUACCGGUGGCGAAGGCGGCCCCCUGGACGAAGACUGACGCUCAGGUGCGAAAGCGUGGGGAGCAAACAGGGUUAGAUACCCUGGUAGUCCACGCCGUAAACGAUGUCGACUUGGAGGUUGUGCCCUUGAGGCGUGGCUUCCGGAGCUAACGCGUUAAGUCGACCGCCUGGGGAGUACGGCCGCAAGGUUAAAACUCAAAUGAAUUGACGGGGGCCCGCACAAGCGGUGGAGCAUGUGGUUUAAUUCGAUGCAACGCGAAGAACCUUACCUGGUCUUGACAUCCACAGAACUUUCCAGAGAUGGAUUGGUGCCUUCGGGAACUGUGAGACAGGUGCUGCAUGGCUGUCGUCAGCUCGUGUUGUGAAAUGUUGGGUUAAGUCCCGCAACGAGCGCAACCCUUAUCCUUUGUUGCCAGCGGUCCGGCCGGGAACUCAAAGGAGACUGCCAGUGAUAAACUGGAGGAAGGUGGGGACGACGUCAAGUCAUCAUGGCCCUUACGACCAGGGCUACACACGUGCUACAAUGGCGCAUACAAAGAGAAGCGACCUCGCGAGAGCAAGCGGACCUCAUAAAGUGCGUCGUAGUCCGGAUUGGAGUCCGCAACUCGACUCCAUGAAGUCGGAAUCGCUAGUAAUCGUGGAUCAGAAUGCCACGGUGAAUACGUUCCCGGGCCUUGUACACACCGCCCGUCACACCAUGGGAGUGGGUUGCAAAAGAAGUAGGUAGCUUAACCUUCGGGAGGGCGCUUACCACUUUGUGAUUCAUGACUGGGGUGAA